rnacentral:sRNA from 1 species
ACCAAGCAACAAGGCGAACUUCUCCAGAAAAAUAUCAAGCAAAUAUGUCUUCGCCUCACCACAAAUUAUAAAGCGUACGAAGACGUUGUCAUUCCUGUCAUCCGAUUCCUGGAGAUACUGCAUCUCGGAGUGGACUUGGUUCAGUGUUCUGACCUUCAUUCCCAUUUGGAGCAAGGUUUCAUACAUGCUAUGAGCCAGAUUACACCCUUAAUGAGCUCCAGAAGAGUAUCACUCCCCGAUCUGCAACAUCGCCCCUCUCGACUGUCUAACUCGGAGAAGGUCGACAUCGGACUACAACGACUUUCUAUUCUAUGGGUCUUUCAAAAUACGGACCCUGAAACUCUUUCAACUGCUGCAAAUCGCCAACUUCUCCGCGAUACUCUUGAGGACUUUUCCGGUAUCUGGAAACAGCAGCUAGAAGAUGACCAAAAUAAACACUAUCAAAAGUCGAACUUAUACCGUUAUCGAGGAUCGUUUGAGGAUGAUCAGGAAGUAGAAGCUGCCGAGGUUUCUCAACUUUUCCCAACGUUCGACGGCACGAUUGAGGAUGACCUUGAAAUUGGAACACUGGCACAAUUCGAUGUCAAAACUAUUUCCCUAAGGCUUUCUCAUAUACUCAACAAUUUAUUCUCAGACCUCGACAAAGAGUCCACAGUGAAGCGAUUGUUGUUACACUCCACGAAACUACUUGGUAUUAACAUGGCAAAAGGCUCAACAGAUAUCCCAACCAUGGACCCCAAAUCACAUCUGCUAGGAGCGAUUUUAUUCCUAGACGAUGUAAAGUCUAUUAAACAACCAACACCUUACAACUUUUAUUCGAGCCCGAACUUGGUAGAGGUCAAGAAGCUCGCAGAUCUAGUUGAAACUAUUAGCGUGCGUUUUAAAGAACUCCAAAAUUCGUGGCCUGAACACGCUACAAUUGCGGAUGUUAUUCGCUGUUGCUCCGAGAUUUUCCAAUUCAACCACCAAGAGCCUCUAGCCAAAUUUAUCACUAAAGCAGAGAAACUUCAUUCGUUCAUUUAUGAGUGGCAGGCUGUCGCGAGUAAAAAUUUCUCUGUCACUCAGUGCUAUGAUAAUAUAACAGCUCUACUCAUAAGUUGGCGGCGCAUUGAAUUAUCUACUUGGUCUCAGCUCUUGGACAUCGAAGAUGAAAAGUGCAGCGAGGAUGCGAGUGCUUGGUGGUUUGUUGCGUAUGAUGUGAUAAUUGCAGCCCCAUUACAGCUGGUUCAAGACGGACAGCCUUUGAUCGAACACUCCGUCGAACUCAUCACUACCCUCGAGAAAUUUAUUUGCUCCACUCCAAUGGGCCAAUACAAGUCUAGGCUGCAGCUCAUUGAAAAAUUUAAAAUGCUGCUGACACUCUAUGCUUUGGACUUCCCAGCUCUGGACCAAUUGAGCGCUGGUAUUGACAACCUCCUUCAUCACUACUUCCCAUUUGUAUCUGUUUUUGAAAAAUCGCUCGGUGACGGUAGAAAAACAUUAGAACGUGACAUACAACAAACGAUUCAGCUGGCAAGCUGGAAGGACACUAAUAUCAAUGCUCUCAGAGAAAGCGCACGUCGCUCCCACAACAAAUUGUUCAAGGUUGUGAGAAAGUAUCGCAGUCUUCUCAGCCAAUCCUCAGAGAGCUUAUUGUCGAAGGGACUCUCUGGCCUUCCGGAUAAAGCAGAAUCAUUCUCAGAUAAUCGUGUGACACUACCCAAUCCCGUUUCACCCAUUGCCCAUCGUGUGUGUCAUGAAAAUAUUCACUCAUGGAGUCAGAAGCCCAAGCGAUUCACAGAUCCUGAUGGUGCAGUCAGGAGCAUGCAGCGUGUAUAUGAGAACUCUCUAAAGGGUUUACAAGCCCAUCAGGAGCUCGAUGCAUUCACUCGUGACAUAAUUGAUACCAUUGGCGAAUUUAAAUCUCAGACACCGAAGGCACUCACGGAAGACAAUAAGCAUGAUGUUCAGCAUCUCAAAGGUCAAAAGCGGCGGUUCUAUGCAGAAAAACUGAAAGACCUCCGAUUCAUGGGCAUUCGUUCUAAUGUUGGGACUGACAUUCUCGAAAGCCAAAGAUCGGUUGCGUCCGUCCUUUCCUCUACACGCCCUCUCACAAUUUCUGCUGGCUUGUCUCAUGUUAAAAGCGCAGACUCCUACUUUCAUAAAUUUUUGGAUCUAGUGCCUCGUGUUCGCAUUUCAUCUG